UUAAAAUGCAUACUCUAAUACCUAUUAUUAAUGUUUACAUCUAAAGCUGGAAAAAAAUUAAAAUAUACUAUAAUUUAAACACAACUUUUGACCCUUCAAUUUGAAUACAGGUUGGAAGAUGAACUUCAUCUGACAUAGAUAAAGAAACUGUUGUCCUUUAACAUACUUGGAAAUGUCUGUUUUUGCACCUUGACAAUAAUUCACCUCCAGACCCUGGGAUAUGUUGAAUAUUUUUUAUGACUGAAUGGCCCUAUGAAACAAUAAUCCUUUAAAAAAAACUGUAUUUCGAGAUGAGUUCCAAUUCCAGCCUUUGAAAUACAUAGCUUGAAACUUUCAAGCAAGCAUCCCAUAAUUACUUUUGAUCAAUUAUGUUGUAAUGAAUACAUGAAUACACUGAUUGAAUGGAAUAAAGACUUUGCCUAGAUUCUCAUGUCACAUGCCGGUAUUCAGUAUCAAACACUUCAAUGCAUCUUAGAUUUAUUCAAUCAAAAAUAGCAUUUCAUAUUCACUGGAUUUACAUAGGAAAGACUUGAGUGACAGAAUCAUCAAGUUAAGAGAUGCAAUGCAGCUAUACCAUUUAGACAGCUGCCUGCCGUGUCCCACAACAGAUCCAUUUUGGAAUUUAUUAUGUGUAUUAACUCAAUUUUGAGAUAACUCAAUUUUGAGACGCUCUCAGAUGCUCAUUCUUUUGAACUACGUUCCUAUUGCAUGGAAAUUGGCAUUUGGACAAAGAAUGUGGUGAAAGCAAAGGCAUUUUUAAAAAUGAAGUAAAGCUGUUUGCUGUGGAGAAAUGGGCAAAAAUUCCUAUGCAACAAGCAAGUUAUAAGAAAAGGGUGGUUGUAGUUAUUGCAGCUAAAUAGUUAUGAAUUUAAGGCAGUGAUUACUUUUCCACACCAGCAUAUUGUAUAUAACUCCCUUUUUCUCCCUCCAUAGAAAACAUAUUUAAGUUAUGCACAAAUUCAGAAAAUCUGAAAGGAAACAAAUGCUUUUUCACAUUAUUUCAAAAGUUCCAAAUGAAAAGCAGCAUUAUUUAUUCUCCCUAAUGACCUUAUGCACUGCAAGGCCAGCAACAGAAUCAAUAAUAAACACAAUAGGUUGUAAAGUAGGAAUCCAUUAGUAAGGCCAUGGCAGAAAUUCAAUGUAUGAGUUUAUUUUUCUACAUAUUUUCAGAGAGAAGCAUAAUAAAAUCUCUAGAACUGGUGGUACUUAAUACAUAAUGUUCAAAGCACUUACCAUUUUUCUACCAUUUUAUAAAUCAGUACUGCAGUCAUACUAACGGCGUUGCGCAAAACUAAAUAUCCAGGUAAAUAUUACUUGAUCAUUGUGGUGAACUUUUAAGUCUGAUCCAUAGUUCACGUUCCAUAGGCAAUUUCUAUUUUGCACAAGUCUUGUAGACUUCCACAAGUGCAAUAAAUAAUCCUGCAUUAUCACUUAAUUUAUUUUUACAUCAAGUUAUGGCUUAAACAUUUGCUCUACAAGGUCUGAAGAGACUGAAGUUCAAUAGAAUUUACUAUUUUUAUUAACUGCAGUGACUUUUCAUCAUAGAAACAAUAAAUAGAAAUCUUAUAUUUUUUUUAUAAAACGUAUCAUUCAAGGUACUGUAGCAACUUUUACUGACAUGAAACCACUGUUAACAUAAUGAGGCAUUCAAAAUAAACUUUUAAGUUUGUGAGGACAGAAUUUCAGUUAC